rnacentral:tRNA from 2 species
AUUUCUAUGGUGUAAAAAGCACGUUAGUUUUUCAUUCUAAAGGAAUAAUGUAAGUUUAUUAGAAAUA